CUACUAUACUGUUAAAAAAUACUGUCUAUGGUAUAUUUAAAAAAAACUGUUCAAUUUCAAUCAAUAUAUCCAAAAGUAAGGGGAAAUACUGUCUAAAGGAUACCAAUAUAUUAUUUGGCAACAAUUUGUGGAUCAAGCUUUAAGCACGGAUUACAAUGAGAAGAGAGAGGAAAGAGAGAUAAUUGACUUUUAGAUUGACGCUUUAUGAAAGGACCAAUCACAGAGGGAGGGGAAAUUUGAGACACCUGUCGUACGCCACUAGUUUUAACUUGCCCAACCCUGUGGUAUUUCCUGGAGGGGUGCGUGCGAGAACCUUGCUACGGUUAUUACACGCGUCACGUGACUUAAGAGUCACGCACACAUCACCGUUGUAUUUUCUUCAAAAGAGUGAGAGAGAGAGAGAGAGAGAGAGAGAGGAAGGCGAACCUUAUCAGCGUCCUUUAUCUUGUCAACCUCUCCGAUCAAUUAUACACUACUUGCAUUUCUACAUGCCAACGAUCGUUAUAUAACCAAAGUGUAGUACCAUCAUAAAAUACUUAUUGUAAAAAUUUUAAAAAGCUUCAAAAUAAAAGAUUGUAUACAUAAAUAAAAAUAGUUAACAAUGUGUAAAA